rnacentral:rRNA from 1 species
AACCGCGGUUAUACGAGGGGCCCAAAUUGACGCCUUACGGCGUAAAGUGUGACUAGAGAUACCCCUAAAAUAGAACUAAAUAUUCCCUAUGCUGUCAUACGCCAUGGGAGUCACGAAGACCAACAACGAAAGUGGUUCUAUAAGUCUUGAAUUCACGACAGCUAAGACA